AAUGAAAGAAAACAAAUAUUUAUAGGCACAUAGAUGACCAUUCAAAUUCGGCAUCUAGGUGUUCACACAAUAAUAAAAAACAUUCACACUAAUGUAUUAAAAUAGUUCAUAAAUUCGGCAGAUUCAUGCACUAGUUGAAUGGACACUUUCUUCCCCCUAAGUGUGUGCAUGAAUGCUUAGUCAUAAAGAAAGGCUUCAAGUGACUUGUAUGUGCACCAAAGGUUGCAUUCAUCUCCUUGGGAUGUUCAUGCACUUGUAUGGAACAUGUAUCUUCAUAAUUAAACACUUUAAUUCAUAAAUGGCAGCAUGAACCUAGUAAAUUC
rnacentral:lncRNA from 1 species